GUGGGGAAUAUUGGGCAAUGGGCGCAAGCCUGACCCAGCAACGCCGCGUGAAGGAAGAAGGCUUUCGGGUUGUAAACUUCUUUGACCAGGGACGAAAAAAAUGACGGUACCUGGAAAACAAGCCACGGCUAACUACGUGCCAGCAGCCGCGGUAAUACGUAGGUGGCAAGCGUUGUCCGGAUUUACUGGGUGUAAAGGGCGUGUAGGCGGGAUUACAAGUCAGAUGUGAAAUCUCUCGGCUCAACCGAGAGCGUGCAUUUGAAACUGUAGUUCUUGAGUGAUGGAGAGGCAGGCGGAAUUCCUAGUGUAGCGGUGAAAUGCGUAGAUAUUAGGAGGAACACCAGUGGCGAAGGCGGCCUGCUGGACAUUUACUGACGCUGAGGCGCGAAAGCGUGGGGAGCAAACAGGAUUAGAUACCCGAGUAGUCC
rnacentral:rRNA from 1 species